rnacentral:ncRNA from 1 species
UUUCUCUGGAGACACCUGUUGAAACAGGGGCCGAAGGUGCAAGCGGCGCAGAAUGCGUCUUGAAUCUCUCAGGCAAAAGGACAGAGUA